GCUCUUACUAGAGGAGAAACACAAUGCACAGGGCUGCAUGUGUGAGAGGCUAUGAGUGACUCAAGUUACCACAGCAACAGCACUGAUGCGUCUCCCAUAGCAGCAGAGCGUUGUUUGGGAAUCCCUGUUAGACUGGGACGCCAGAAAAAAGGAAACCUCUCAGAAAAUGUGUUCAGAAUAUCCAACACAAAGUUUUUAUUUGCUGAUUCUGGACAAGCUGACGCUGACUCAGCUGAUAUCAGAGUUUCCAGGAGGAGGAAAGCUCAUGUACGACUCCCACUGUUACAGCUGCUCCCUCUGUAACCUCACAAUAAAAACUACUUCAAAACUUCCAGAUGUUGCUGGUGAUGUCAUUUUCUCAGGGCUUUCUCCAGAAUGAAUCAUCAUCCACAGACACACAGGACGUAAAAAAGCCCAUAAAAGGAGCAUGGAGUAAGGUGUAAGCAGUAAACUGUCUCAGAGUGUUUCAGCAGGAUGAUGCACCGUGUCCUUGCAGAACAGGAAACUGGCUGCACAUUUGUUCUCAAAGGGAAGUAUUCAGCCACUUAUCAUGAACUGAUAAUGAAUAAACAUGUGGAGCAGAAACCUCACGGCAAAACCUGAGCCCUUAUCUAAGCAACAUAGAGUCAGCCUUGGAUCAUGUUAAAUGUGCAAAACUGCAGUUCCUCUGAUGCCCACUUGAAGUUGACUGCACAAAGACAUCCUCUCUGCUUUUAACUUUCCUUUUUGAUGAAGCUUUUAGUUAGGAUUGGAUCGAGUGACCCUAAAGCUUGCUUUAGCACCCUUACAGCAGUCUGAACAAAGAUUAACAGCAGUUAACUGUCAGGCUGUUGCUGCAUUUCAGUUUGCAAAUAAGGAGUCAGGGAACGAAGAGGAAAAUGUUGGCGUCACAAUUACCAGGAUGGCUGAACUUUUUCCUCGAAGGUAAUUUGGAGGUUUAUCUCCCCCACAGCAGGAACACACACACACACACACACACACACACACACACAGUCAUGUGUCCAUGACUUCAGAGGAAUUUACAGUGGCUUGCAUUCCUUUCCUGGGGUGUUAUUCUGAAGGUCAGGAAGAGUGUGCUGUUUGGUUGGGCAAGUAGUUAUUUUUAAGGUUAAACAUGUCUUAGAACAUGCAGUGUUAGGGGAGCAUGUUUUUGCUCCUCUAUGGUAUAAUGUAAGUGUGUAAAUGGAGAUGUAAGUCGCUACAGUGAUACCUGGGCCACAUGCACACAGAGUUAGAUAUGCAUCACUUUAAGGAACAUGACAAUGAGUUGCAUUCAAACCUUGAAUCCUUAUGAGAGUGUUAAACUCCCCCCAAUGUGACUGUAAACACAUGUCCUCCUGCACACACACAGACACACACAUGUGCACCUAGUAACUGUGAAGAGAAAAAUCUGCAUGACAACCAUGUGAGCGAAAAAGCAAGAGUUGUCGCCUCGGUAGAAUCAGCUGACCCUGUGUGUAUGUGUGUGUGUGUGUGUGUGUGUCAGCUGACUCACAGAAACAGGAAACACAUGCCGAUUGGCUAAUUAAAGCUAAAAAAACCCUGCAUUCACAAUCAUGAAACAGCAAAUUUAAAAUGUUAUCGUGUUAAGAGCUCAACACCACCAACUCUGCUGCCCCUGCAGACUGCAGUCUACAUCACAAACAGAACAAAUCACAGCAUGAUAAUUUCUCUAUUCUUCUUUACAUCCAUCAUUUAGGGGCAAAGGAUGGUCUGUAAAGCAAAGUAAUUUUGUAGAAAGGCCUGUGCUCUGAGGUAGGACAUGGAAUCUUGGCCCUGGUAACGUAUCCUGCAGCUCCAACGUGCUCCAGAGCAGGUUAUGUUUGACAUAAGAGAAAGACACGCACAGAAAGAUAUUGGCAGAGUCAUUUAUCCUCCAGCCUACAAUAGUUUACUCCCACAGUCCAAAGGUAUGCAUGAUAGGUUAGUUGGUGAUUUUGAAUUAUGAGUGGUUGUUUGUCUUUGUGUUUUCCCUGUGAUGGCCAGGUGACCAGGAUGUACAGUCAGAUAGGGCCUCUCCUAUCUGAGGCCCUAGCCCCCCCCCUCCAUUUGGUCAUGGACUGGAUAAGUGGAUGAGGAGAAGCACGAAUAGAUGGCAAAAGCACUUAUUCUGCAGAAAAAUGUCACCUGUCAGUGUUUUUCUCUUAUAUGUAAAAUGAUUAAUAUUAAUGUGCAUGCUGCAUUUUCUACUUUAGAUAUUCAAGGUUAAGUUAAUUUGAAAUAUUUUAUAUUCUGCUGGGCAAGUUGUUCUGCAGUGAUGCACAUAUUCUUUAAAAUCAUCUUAUACUGUCCAUAUGUAUAUAGCGCUGCAGAA